rnacentral:rRNA from 1 species
GAUGAACGCUAGCUACAGGCUUAACACAUGCAAGUCGAGGGGCAGCAUGAACAAAGCUUGCUUUGUUUGAUGGCGACCGGCGCACGGGUGCGUAACACGUAUCCAAUCUGCCCGCGGCUCGGGGAUAGCCCAUCGAAAGAUGGAUUAAUACCCGAUGGUGUGGUCACUCCGCAUGGGGUUUCCACUAAAGGUAUUCCGGCCGCGGAUGAGGAUGCGUAUGAUUAGGUAGUAGGCGGGGUAACGGCCCACCUAGCCUUCGAUCAUUAGGGGUUCUGAGAGGAAGGUCCCCCACACUGGAACUGAGACACGGUCCAGACUCCUACGGGAGGCAGCAGUGAGGAAUAUUGGUCAAAUGGGCGAGAGCCUGAACCAGCCAAGUAGCGUGAAGGAAGACUGCCCUAAUGGGUUGUAAACUUCUUUUGUCGGGAAUAAAGUGCAGUAUGUAUACUGUUUUGUAUGUACCGUUCGAAUAAGCAUCGGCUAAUUCCGUGCCAGCAGCCG